GCUGCGGUAGCUCAGUGGUAGAGCGGAGGAUUGCAGUCAGUCCAAAAUCCUCAGGUCCUGUGUUCGAACCACAGUCGCAGCU
rnacentral:tRNA from 1 species